GAUGCAGAGCCCAAGUCGUGGCUCUCCACAAGGCCCAGCACCGCUACGCCUAUUAUUAAUCUCACAGGGCUAUAAAAAAUUAAGAAUCCCUAAUUCCCAAAUUGCUUCAUCCAGGUUCCAGUGCUUUCAGCAAAUCCAACGGAACGAGGGUUUCAUCAAAUUUGUUUGCAGUUUUUUCAUCUAAUUUAUUGUAUAACUUAUUUGUAUCAUAAAAGGCUGUUCCUUGAGCAGCUUAUAUAUAGUUUGGCUAAUUUAACUUAAAUGGGGAACAGAAAACAAAAGAGAACUCGAUUUGUCGAGGAUCGGAUAAGCGGAAUGCCGGAUGAUGUUCUGGUUUCCAUUCUGUCUCUCAUAACAAUGAAAGAGGCGGGGAGAACUAGUGUCCUUUCUCGCCGAUGGCAAAAGCUUUGGACUUUUGUUCCUAAUUUGAAUUUCGAUGGGCAAGAGAGUUUAUACUAUUUGGAAGAUCAUAUAGGCGCACGGGGAUUCCGGAGACUACAUCGUAUUGCAAGGACCAAUUAUGUGAAAUGGGUGAAUCGUGUACUGGAAUUGCAUCGUACUCCGGCUAUUGACCAAUUUAGAGUUUUUUUUUGAUUUGACUGAGGAUUAUAGACGUGAUAUUGAUAAUUGGAUCAACUUUGCAAUGGAAAAGAGAGUUCAAAGGCUUGAGUUGAGCUUUGAUUAUUGUUCCCUUAUAAAUCCUUACCCUUUUCCAUCAUUGUACCAGACUCGCGGUAUUCCCAGCCCAAAUUCCCUUAGGGCCCUCAUUUUAAAAUUUCUGAAUGUAAGUGGAGAAGUUUUGGAGUACUUCAUAUGCAACUGCCCCUUUCUUGAACGCCUGUGUGUGCAAAAUUCAUCUGCCCUUGUCAAUCUGAAAGUUGCUGGUCCAUUACUCCCCUUGAAGUACUUAGAGAUAUGCCACUGCCCCAAGCUACAAAACCUAGAGAUUUCUGCAAAAAAUCUUGUAUCUUUCGUAUACUCUGGGCCAAGAAUAACCAUGCCUUUUAGAUAUGUACCCAACCUCGUUGAAAUGUCUUUGGGGGGCGUGUAUUGUAAAUAUUCAAUCUAUCAAUUCUGUGAGUUUUCAAGUUGUCUUUCGUGGCUAGAGACCCUUAUAUUGGAACUUCCGAGGAUCAAGAAAAAUAAGAAGCUCAUUGAAUUUCCUACAUUAAGUAAUCUCAAGCAAUUAGAGUUGAUAGCUUUCGAUGAAAGUGAUAAUGCAAGCCUUCUUGGGUUGACUUCCCUGUUAAAAGCAGCUCCUAUCUUGUGCAGGUUAACACUGAAGGUAACUCCAGGGUCUCAUGCAAGAUCUUUCUUGGUAAUAUUGUAAUUGAAUUUGAUGGAAGCCUGUUGAAAGCAUCAAGGAGGGAUGGAGUCAGCGAGUCACAAUUCAACCAAGUUUUGAACAUUGAACUGGAUCAAAUGAUAGAGGCAUGCAAAUUUCUAUCUUUGUGCUCACGCUAGAAUGAUCGGGACCACAAGGCCAACACAUUACCAUGUUCUAUUUGAUGAGGUUGGCUUUUCUGCAAAUGAUCCUCAGGAACUUGUGAGUUCACUUUCUUAUGCAUAUCAAACAAGCACAACUGC